GACGAACGCUGGCGGCGUGCUUAACACAUGCAAGUCGAACGGAAAGGCCCUGCUUUUGUGGGGUGCUCGAGUGGCGAACGGGUGAGUAACACGUGAGUAACCUGCCCUUGACUUUGGGAUAACUUCAGGAAACUGGGGCUAAUACCGGAUAGGAGCUCCUGCUGCAUGGUGGGGGUUGGAAAGUUUCGGCGGUUGGGGAUGGACUCGCGGCUUAUCAGCUUGUUGGUGGGGUAGUGGCUUACCAAGGCUUUGACGGGUAGCCGGCCUGAGAGGGUGACCGGCCACAUUGGGACUGGGGUACGGGCCAGACUCCUACGGGAGGCAGCAGUGGGGAAUAUUGCACAAUGGGCGGAAGCCUGAUGCAGCAACGCCGCGUGCGGGAUGACGGCCUUCGGGUUGUAAACCGCUUUCGCCUGUGACGAAGCGUGAGUGACGGUAAUGGGUAAAGAAGCACCGGCUAACUACGUG
rnacentral:rRNA from 1 species